rnacentral:rRNA from 1 species
GACGAACGCUGGCGGCGUGCUUAACACAUGCAAGUCGAACGGUGACCCAGGGCUUGCCCUGGUGAUCAGUGGCGAACGGGUGAGUAACACGUGGGCAACCUGCCCCUGACUUCGGGAUAACUCCUCGAAAGAGGAGCUAAUACCGGAUACGACCACUUCGGACAUCCGAUGGUGGUGGAAAGUUUUUCGGUCAGGGAUGGGCCCGCGGCCUAUCAGCUAGUUGGUGGGGUAAUGGCCUACCAAGGCGACGACGGGUAGCCGGCCUGAGAGGGCGACCGGCCACACUGGGACUGAGACACGGCCCAGACUCCUACGGGAGGCAGCAGUGGGGAAUAUUGCGCAAUGGGCGAAAGCCUGACGCAGCGACGCCGCGUGAGGGAUGAAGGCCUCGGUUGUAACCGUCUUCUAGCAGGGACGAAGCGAAAGUGACGGUACCUGCAGAAGAAGCACCGGCUAACUACGUGCCAG